rnacentral:pre_miRNA from 1 species
AACAUUCAUUGCUGUCGGUGGGUUUUAGUUUCAGACAGCUCUCUGGCCAAUGAAUGCAAA